rnacentral:rRNA from 1 species
CCUACGGGCGGCAGCAGUGGGGAAUAUUGCACAAUGGGCGAAAGCCUGAUGCAGCAACGCCGCGUGAAGGAAUACUGUUUUAUGAUUGGAAACUUCUGUUCUUAGUGGAGAAUAAUGACGGUAACUAAGGAGCAAGCCACGGCUAACUACGUGCCAGCAGCCGCGGUAAUACGUAGGUAGCAAGUUUUGUCCGGAAUUACUGGGUGGAACGGGAGCGUAGGCGGGAAGCCAAGUCAGCUGUGAAAACUACGGGCUUAACCUGUAGACUGCAGUUGAAACUGGCUUUCUUGAGUGAAGGAGAGGUAGGCGGAAUUCCGGGUGUAGCGGUGAAAUGCGUAGAUAUUCGGCGGAACACCGGUGGCGAAGGCGGCCAACUGGGCUUUAACUGACGCUGAGGCUCGAAAGUGUGGGGAGCAAACAGGAUUAGAUACCCUGGUAGUC